rnacentral:rRNA from 1 species
AGUGAACGCUGGCGGUAGGCCUAACGCAUGCAAGUCGAACGGCAGCACAGUAAGAGCUUGCUCUUACGGGUGGCGAGUGGCGGACGGGUGAGGAAUACAUCGGAAUCUACUUUUUCGUGGGUGAUAACGUAGGGAAACUUACUCUAAUACCUCAUACGACCUACGGGUGAAAGCAGGGGAUCUUCGGACCUUGCGCGAUUGAAUGAGCCGAUGUCGGAUUAGCUAGUUGGCGGGGUAAAGGCCCACCAAGGCGACGAUCCGUAGCUGGUCUGAGAGGAUGAUCAGCCACACUGGAACUGAGACACGGUCCAGACUCCUACGGGAGGCAGCAGUGGGGAAUAUUGGACAAUGGGCGCAAGCCUGAUCCAGCCAUACCGCGUGGGUGAAGAAGGCCUUCGGGUUGUAAAGCCCUUUUGUUGGGAAAGAAAAGCAGCAGGUUAAUACCCAGCUGUUCUGACGGUACCCAAAGAAUAAGCACCGGCUAACUUCGUG